rnacentral:misc_RNA from 1 species
GAUGAAGAACGUAGCGAAAUGCGAUAAGUAGUGUGAAUUGCAGAAUUCAGUGAAUCAUCGAAUCUUUGAACGCACAUUGCGCCCGGUAGUAUUCUGCCGGGCAUGCCUGUUCGAGCGUCAUUUCAACCAUCAAGCCCCAGCGCUUGUGUUGGGGGCCUGCGGCUGCCGCAGCCCCCUAAAAGCAGUGGCGGGCUCGCUAUCACACCGAGUGCAGUAGUUCAUCUUCUCUCCGGUCUUGUGAGGCGGGUUCCGGCCGUGAAACACCCCACUACAUUCAAGGUUGACCUCGGAUCAGGUAGGAAUACCCGCUGAACUUAAGCAUAUCAAAAGCGGAGGA